AGAAAGACGACACGCAACGUCGUCAUCGGUAAAAGCACGAGGAUAAAACAGCCAGAGCAGUUCUCUCCUGGCCGUAGAAGUCAUCGGUUCGCAAUAAAACGUGUCCGAUUCAGCCGAGCCAAAACAAUGCAGCCUCUUCGGAUUCAUUUACGAACAUUUUGCUCCGUCGUUUUUAUAACGAGUUUGGCUGUCGCCUCAUCAGUGUACGAGAAGAAAUGCAACGAUUCGAGAGAGUGCGCGGUCUAUCCGAAAAUCAUCCAGGGUCCAGACACAAAUUGGAUACCGUUUUUCUGCAACGAGAAUAAUUUAUGCGUAUGUCCAAACGGAUGGAUGCCGGAAUUGAAUCGGAGCAUUUGCAUCUCUCGAAUAUCAGGUUCAUUGACAGCAGAUACGUGCGCUGCUUACGUCUGGACGAUCAGCCUGCUAAUCUUCACUCUCCUAGCCCUCAUCACUUACAGUUUCGUUUCUCUAUUUUCUUGCAGAACUCCCGUUUCACCGAAAUAUAACAAUCUUACCGAACCGAUGAAAUGUUACCGAAAUUUCACCAUCGCCGACGAGUUUUUAGAGAAAUUUUAAUAUUUCUGAUAAAUUUCCGACGAGUCGUACGCAUUUCAAGCUUUUUCUUGGCUCUCGUUCACCUUCCGUUCUUUCUUUUCUUUUCUUUUUUCACAAUUUUUUUACAGGAAACGAGAGUUUCAUUGGAAAGGCCACGAGCGAAAGUAUUUAUACAACUUCUCGGUACAAUAGAGACGAUAUGUUUGUAAAAUAAUACCGUUAAACUGUAUUCUGGAAGAGAUAAAAAAAUUUGGUGUAAGCUUAUGGUUAAUAAGAAUAUUCAUGUAUAUAAUACGUGUGCCUAUAUAGGUAUAAUAUGCAUCCAUGUUAGUAAUAUCAAGCAAUGUACCUGUACUAGUUAUGUGAUAAUAUAUUUGUCUGUAUAAUA